AUCGCCUCUCGGCCCACCAAAAAUGAGAGGUCCCGCCUGCCCUGUGAUAAACAUUUAACGGCCGCGGUAUUUUGACCGUGCAAAGGUAGCGCAAUCACUUGUCUUUUAAAUGGAGACCUGUAUGAAUGGCAUAACGAGGGCUUAACUGUCUCCCCCUCCCAGUCAAUGAAAUUGAUCCCCCCGUGCAGAAGCGGGGAUAACCCCAUAAGACGAGAAGACCCUGUGGAGCUUUAGACAAUAAAUAGACCCUGUAAAGACUCACAGUAGAUAAAAACAAAAGGUACCCCUAUUUUACUGUCUUCGGUUGGGGCGACCGCGGGGAACACAAAACCCCCACGUGGAACAAGAACACCCUCUUUAAACCAAGAGUUACAACUCUAAAGAGCAGAACAUCUGACCAAAAUGACCCGGCGACAUUACCGCCGAUCAACGAAACUAGUUACCCCAGGGAUAACAGCGCAAUCCUCUCCCAGAGCCCAUAUCGACGAGGGGGUUUACGACCUCGAUGUUGGAUCAGGACAUCCUAAUGGUGCAGCCGCUAUUAAGGGUUCGUUUGUUCAACGAUUAAAGUCCUACGUGAU
rnacentral:rRNA from 1 species